GAAUUAUCACGGAGUACGUGACAUUCAAUUCCUGAGGCGAUUUGCGAAUUUUUUAAGGCUCCAGGGAUUCGGUCAAGUCGCUGUCUAGGUUUUUCGCAUUUUUUUCGACUCCUGGGCCUUCUGGGGCAAAACGGGCCCGAAUUUGGCAUCAUCCUGUUUUGAGACAAUUUGCGAUUUUUUUAAGGCUCCGGAAAUACUAUAAAAUCGAUUUUUCCCUUUUUCGCAUUUUGGCGAUUUUGGCAUUUAAAUGUUUUUGGAGUAUGACUCGGUAGACAUUUUUUACGAAAAAAGUCAUUACAGAAGGAAUCGAGGUGGAGAGAGUCAAUGAAUUAUCGGCACCAAAUUUAUUCUGCCAUACUUACGUCAAAUACUUAUUCCAAAAACACAUAAAUAUUCCGUAUACAUAAACAGUGAAUCAUACAUGUAAAUGUUAGAGAGAAAAUUAUUGAGGAAAAUUAUCGACCUCAUCGUUGCACAUUUAAACGCAUUCCUUCAAUUCCUCGAGUACAAUAUUUGCUACUUCGCAGUGCAAACACAACACGUGAAAAUGAUUAAACAAUUACUGGCCUCGACAUUCCUGAUAUUGGGAGUUAUGACGUACUGCAGUGCAGAAUGUCCUCCGAAUUCGUCAAGCACCACUUGUGGCCUAGCAUGUGAACCUAGCUGUGAAGUUCCGGUGCACAAACCAAUCGCAUGUCCACGAAUUGUAUGUUUUCCUAUUGCAGAAGGUCCUUGUCGUUGUAACGUCGGUUUCUAUAGGAAUUCCGCAGGGAAUUGUGUGAAAUUAGAGGAGUGUGAGGACGAAUAAAAAUCAAAAUCAUCGGCUAUUAUUUCUGUAAUGGAAUUGGGACUCGAAUAAACAAUACAUUGUUAUUCAUCA